rnacentral:rRNA from 1 species
AGUCGAACGAAGCUUGACGGAUGAUUUCUUCGGAAUGAAACCUGAUAUGACUUAGUGGCGGACGGGUGAGUAACACGUGAGCAACCUGCCUUUCAGAGGGGGAUAACGGCUGGAAACGGUCGCUAAUACCGCAUGACGUGUUCGGAUGGCAUCAUCUGAACAUCAAAGAUUUAUCGCUGAAAGAUGGGCUCGCGUCUGAUUAGAUAGUUGGUGGGGUAACGGCCUACCAAGUCUACGAUCAGUAGCCGGACUGAGAGGUUGAACGGCCACAUUGGGACUGAGAUACGGCCCAGACUCCUACGGGAGGCAGCAGUGGGGGAUAUUGCACAAUGGGGGAAACCCUGAUGCAGCGACGCCGCGUGAGGGAAGACGGCCUCUGGAUUG